UACGAGAGGCCCAAACGUUAUUCGGAAUUACUGGGCUUAAAGAGUUCGUAGGCGGCGCAGAAAGUAGGGUGUGAAAGUCCUCGGCUCAACCGAGGAAUUGCGCUCUAAACUACUGUGCUUGAGGAAGCUAGAGGUGAGCAGAACAGAUGGUGGAGCGGUGAAAUGCGUUGAUAUCAUCUGGAAUACCGGAGGCGAAGGCGGCUCACUGGGGCUUUCCUGACGCUGAGGAACGAAAGCCAGGGUAGCGAACGGG
rnacentral:rRNA from 1 species